UACGUAGGGAGCAAGCGUUGUCCGGAAUCAUUGGGCGUAAAGCGCGCGUAGGUGGCCCUGUAAGUCCGUUGUGAAAGUCAAAGGCUCAACCUUUGAAAGCCGAUGGAUACUGCAGGGCUAGAGUACGGAAGAGGCGAGUGGAAUUCCUGGUGUAGCGGUGGAAUGCGCAGAUAUCAGGAGGAACACCAAUAGCGAAGGCAGCUCGCUGGGACGUUACUGACACUGAGGCGCGAAAGCGUGGGUAGCAAACGGG
rnacentral:rRNA from 1 species